CCGAGGUAGAACUACAGUAGCAGCACAUGAACAGUUACGAACCUGGCCAGAUACAGAAAUUCUAUAAGAUUACCGGUGUCAGGUGAAUCUUUGCAAAAACUGCGCAAGGUGCGAGGACGCCCCAAUGUCAGGAAGGCCGUGUUAGCUUACGUCAUCAUCUUCACCGAUGGACCGAUGCGACGGGCUCACAUCUAUUUAGACUAUUUUGUUUUGUAAACAAAUCUGAAGGAUUUGUUUAUAUUUGAUAAUCGGGGCAGUUUUUAAGAAAGAACCGGGCAGUUAAGCUUUAGAUGUCGAGGGUUAAAGUACAUUUGUUGUAAUAAAGCGUAUUAUUGUGAA